GACGAACGCUGGCGGCGUGCUUAACACAUGCAAGUCGAACGGAAAGGCCCUGCUUUUGUGGGGUGCUCGAGUGGCGAGCGGGUGAGUAACACGUGAGUAACCUGCCCUUGACUUUGGGAUAACUUCAGGAAACUGGGCUAAUACCGGAUAGGAGCUCCUGCUGCAUGGUGGGGGUUGGAAAGUUUCGGCGGUUGGGGAUGGACUCGCGGCUUAUCAGCUUGUUGGUGGGGUAGUGGCUUACCAAGGCUUUGACGGGUAGCCGGCCUGAGAGGGUGACCGGCCACAUUGGGACUGAGAUACGGCCCAGACUCCUACGGGAGGCAGCAGUGGGGAAUAUUGCACAAUGGGCGGAAGCCUGAUGCAGCAACGCCGCGUGCGGGAUGACGGCCUUCGGGUUGUAAACCGCUUUCGCCUGUGACGAAGCGUGAGUGACGGUAAUGGGUAAAGAAGCACCGGCUAACUACGUG
rnacentral:rRNA from 1 species